rnacentral:tRNA from 1 species
GAUCCUGUGGUUGAGUGAUAAAGCGCUUGGCUUUGAACCGAGGAGUCCCGGGUUCGAAUCCUGGUGAAAACU